AAAGUCGUAACAAGGUUUCCGUAGGUGAACCUGCGGAAGGAUCAUUAUCGUAGGGCUUCGGCCCUGUCGAGAUAGAACCCUUGCCUUUAUGAGUACCGUCCGUUUCCUCGGCAGGUCCGCCUGCCGAUGGACAAAAAAAUAAACCUUUAUAACCUGUAUUAGUCUGAAAAAAAUUUAAAAAUUAAAACUUUCAACAACGGAUCUCUUGGUUCUG
rnacentral:misc_RNA from 1 species